UACGUAGGUGACCAGCGUUGUCCGGAUUUACUGGGCGUAAAGAGCGCGCAGGCGGUCGUUCAAGUCGAGUGUGAAAGCCCCCGGCUCAACUGGGGAGGGUCAUUCGAUACUGAUCGACUUGAAGGCAGGAGAGGGAAGUGGAAUUCCCGGUGUAGUGGUGAAAUGCGUAGAUAUCGGGAGGAACACCUGUGGCGAAAGCGGCGCACUGGACCACAACUGACGCUGAGGCGCGAAAGCUAGGGGAGCAAACAGG
rnacentral:rRNA from 1 species